GACGAACGCUGGCGGCGCGCCUAACACAUGCAAGUCGAGCGAUGAAAGUUGUUCAGAUCCUUCGGGUGACGAACUUCCGGAUUAGCGGCGAACGGGUGAGUAACGCGUGAGGAACCUGCCUCUCACAACGGGAUAGCCUCGGGAAACCGGGAUUAAUACCGUAUGACACUAUCAGAUGGCAUCAUCAGGUAGUUAAAGUGCUAGCGGUGAGAGAUGGCCUCGCGUCUGAUUAGUUAGUUGGUGGGGUAACGGCCUACCAAGACGACGAUCAGUAACCGGCCUGAGAGGGUGAACGGUCACAUUGGAACUGAGACACGGUCCAAACUCCUACGGGAGGCAGCAGUGGGGAAUCUUGCACAAUGGGGGAAACCCUGAUGCAGCGACGCCGCGUGAGCGAUGAAGGUUUUCGAAUCGUAAAGCUCUGUCCUAUGGGAAGAUAAUGACGGUACCAUAGGAGGAAGCCCCGGCUAACUACGUGCCAGCAGCCGCGGUAAUACGUAGGGGGCGAGCGUUGUCCGGAAUUACUGGGCGUAAAGGGUUCGCAGGCGGCAUGACAAGUCCGAUGUAAAAGGCGAAAGCUCAACUUUCGUAAGCAUCGGAAACUGUCAAGCUUGAGUGAAGGAGAGGCAAGUGGAAUUCCUAGUGUAGCGGUGGAAUGCGUAGAUAUUAGGAGGAAUACCGGUGGCGAAGGCGACUUGCUGGACUUCAACUGACGCUGAGGAACGAAAGCGUGGGUAGCAAACAGG
rnacentral:rRNA from 1 species